AAUAGAUGACGCCGUUGACUUUUUCUCAUAUGUUUGGCCAUUCGUCUUAUUCAAAAACUUUACGUAAUUAUAAUUUAUUUUGUUAUGAGUUGUUUUAUCACUCAUAGUACUUUAAUUAUGAUUUAUAUCUUAUACAUUUGUAUAAAAUUUUUAAAUAAGACGAAUGGUCAAAGAAAGUCAACGGCUUCCUAUAUU
rnacentral:pre_miRNA from 1 species